rnacentral:rRNA from 1 species
AUUAGAUACCCUGGUAGUCCACACGGUAAACGAUGAAUACUCGCUGUUUGCGAUAUACAGCAAGCGGCCAAGCGAAAGCAUUAAGUAUUCCACCUGGGGAGUACGCCGGCAACGGUGAAACUCAAAGGAAUUGACGGGGGCCCGCACAAGCGGAGGAACAUGUGGUUUAAUUCGAUGAUACGCGAGGAACCUUACCCGGGCUUAAAUUGCAACCGAAUAUGGCGGAAACGCUAUAGCUAGCAAUAGCGGUUGUGAAGGUGCUGCAUGGUUGUCGUCAGCUCGUGCCGUGAGGUGUCGGCUUAAGUGCCAUAACGAGCGCAACCCUUGCCGAUAGUUACUAAUAGGUUAUGCUGAGGACUCUGUCGGGACUGCCAUCGUAAGAUGUGAGGAAGGUGGGGAUGACGUCAAGUCCUCAUGGCCCUUAUGGGUAGGGCUUCACACGUCAUACAAUGGUCGGAACAGAGGGCAGCGAAGCCGUGAGGCGGAGCCAAUCCCAGAAAACCGAUCGUAGUCCGGAUUGCAGUCUGCAACUCGACUGCACGAAGCUGGAAUCGCUAGUAAUCGCGGAUCAGCACGCCGCGGUGAAUACGUUCCCGGGCCUUGUACACACCGCCUGUCAAACAAUGGGAGUGGUGUUUACCAGAAGUCGUUAGCCUAACCGCAAGGAGGACGGCGACCACGGUGAGCACCGUGACUAAUGUUAAGUCGUAACAAGGUAAC